rnacentral:rRNA from 1 species
UACGUAGGGUGCGAGCGUUAAUCGGAAUUACUGGGCGUAAAGCGUGCGCAGGCGGCGCGUUAAGACAGGUGUGAAAGCCCCGAGCUUAACUUGGGAAUUGCGCUUGUGACUGGCGUGCUGGAGUGUGGCAGAGGGAGGUGGAAUUUCAGGUGUAGCGGUGAAAUGCGUAGAUAUCGGGAGGAACACCAGUGGCGAAGGCGGCUUCCUGGCCUGUUCUUGACGCUGAGGCGCGAAAGCUAGGGGAGCAAACGGG